rnacentral:rRNA from 1 species
AGAACGAACGCUGGCGGCAUGCCUAACACAUGCAAGUCGAACGAGACCUUCGGGUCUAGUGGCGCACGGGUGCGUAACGCGUGGGAAUCUGCCCUUAGGUUCGGAAUAACUCAGGGAAACUUGAGCUAAUACCGGAUGAUGUCGCAAGACCAAAGAUUUAUCGCCUAAGGAUGAGCCCGCGUAGGAUUAGCUUGUUGGUGAGGUAAAGGCUCACCAAGGCUACGAUCCUUAGCUGGUCUGAGAGGAUGAUCAGCCACACUGGGACUGAGACACGGCCCAGACUCCUACGGGAGGCAGCAGUGGGGAAUAUUGGACAAUGGGCGAAAGCCUGAUCCAGCAAUGCCGCGUGAGUGAUGAAGGCCCUAGGGUUGUAAAGCUCUUUUACCCGGGAAGAUAAUGACUGUACCGGGAGAAUAAGCCCGGCUAACUCCGUGCCAGCAGCCGC